rnacentral:rRNA from 1 species
UACGGAGGGAGCUAGCGUUGUUCGGAAUUACUGGGCGUAAAGCGCACGUAGGCGGCUUUGUAAGUUAGAGGUGAAAGCCCGGGGCUCAACUCCGGAACUGCCUUUAAGACUGCAUCGCUUGAAUCCGGGAGAGGUGAGUGGAAUUCCGAGUGUAGAGGUGAAAUUCGUAGAUAUUCGGAAGAACACCAGUGGCGAAGGCGGCUCACUGGACCGGUAUUGACGCUGAGGUGCGAAAGCGUGGGGAGCGAACAGG